ensembl:lncRNA ERICH6-AS1 ERICH6 antisense RNA 1
CCUGCCUCAGCCUCCCGAGUAGCUGGGACUACAGGCACGUGCCACCACGCCUGGCUAAUUUUUUGCAUUUUCAGUAGAGAUGGGGUUUCACCGUGUUAGCCAGGAUGGUCUCGAUCUCCUGACCUCGUGAUCUGCCUGCCUCAGCCUCCCAAAGUGCUGGGAUUACAGGCGUGAGCCACAGUGCCUGGCCUGUAUUAUAUUUAUUUUGAGACAGGGUCUUACCCUGUCGCUCAGGCUGGAGUGCAGUGGUGCUAUCUCAGCUCACCGCAACCUCCUCCUCCCGGCUCAAGCUGAUCCUCCCGCCUCAGCCUCCCGAGUAUCUGGGACUACUUUUUGUAGAGAUGGCGUCUUGCUAUGUUGCCCAGGCUGGUCUCAAACUCUCGGUCUCAAGCUCCUGGGCUCAAGAGAUCCUCCCAUCUGGGCCUCCCAAAGUUCUUAGGAUUACAGACGUGAGCUACUGUGCCUGGCUAGGGAAUAUUUUUGAAAGUAGAGUUCUUGCAGGCUAAAGGAGCAGGCAGCACAGAUGAGAGGAGACAUCUGAGUUGCUUUAAAAGGAAGGGCAAAAUGUGGUGACCAGAGAGGAAAGUGAAAAGCUUUCCAGCAGGCUCACGGCAGGAAAGGAGGGUCAGGACAGGGAACUAUGUGUACAGAUAUUGAGGUACAAAUAAGGUAAGUGUAAUUUAAAAAGAGAAAAUAAGAAAAAGCUCAUUUCUUUUCUGGACAAUACUAACAGUUUGAUGCUGGAAGCUAUCUUAGAAGUUAGGAAAUUCAACCAGGGUCCUCAGAGAGCAGACUGGAAGUCAGGAUGUGGGGAUGAGACACGGGGCUGGCAGACAGCAAGGGUGACAGUGCUUGUGCUUACUCCGCUUGUGCCUGCUGUAGCUCAGUUCUGUGACUGCCCUGGCAUUUUCUCAAUUGUGUGGUGAAUUAAUUUGUUUAAGUACUCCUUGUUUAGACCCUCUAUUUAAGACCUUUUUUGAACAUUUUAUGGAAUCUCCUUCCCUUGGAUCUACUUACUACGGAAAGAACAGUCCCUUAUUUUCUCAUGAGUUGAUGCCACUCUUGUUUUGGCCGUUCAGAGAUAAUAUGAUGCUGGGUCAGUUUAUAUUUUCCCCUUCUCCAUUCCUGGUGUCUAGCUUGACUCAGGAACUUGAGAUUUGAGAACCAGGCACCAGCCCUGACUAACUGUGACUUUGGGGUUACUGAGCCUCAGUUUCUUGGUGUGUUAAAUGGAAAUAUCAGUACCUUUCCACUUAAUUUAUGGGGCUAUUUUGAGAUAAAAUUUAAUUAUUGUUUAUUUUCUUCUUCUUUUUUUUUUUUCCUAAGAUGGCAUCUCAAUGUGUUACCCAGGCUGGUCUUGAACUCCUGGACUCAAUCCUCCUACCUUGGCCUCCCAAAGUGCUGGGAUUAUAGGUGUGAGUCAUCCUGUCUGGCCUAUUUUCUGAGGACUGAUUUUGUAUUUUAUUAUUAUUAUUUUAGGACCACAUAACUCUGUUUAGAAAAUGUUUCUAAUGUAUUGAGUGCUUCAAAGGUAUAUUAGUUCGAUUUCACACUGCUAUAAGGAAUUGCCUGAGGCUGAGUAAUAUAUAAAAUAAACAGGUUUAAUUGACUCAGUUCCAUAUAACUGGGGAGGCCGCAGGAAACUUACAAUCAUGGCUGAAGGUGAAGGGGAAGCAAGGCACAUCUUACUUGUUGGCAGGAGAGAGAGAGUGCAGGGGAAACUGCCACUUUUUCUUUUUUUUUUUUGGAGACAGAGUCUCACUCUGUUGCCCAGGCUGGAGUGCAGUGGCGCAAUCUUGGCUCACUGCAAGCUUGGCCUCCCGGGUUCACGUCAUUCUCCUGCCUCAGCAUCCCGAGUAGCUGGGACUACAGGCGCCCGCCACUACGCCUGGCUAAUUUUUUGUAUUUUUAGUAGAGACGAGGUUUCACGUGUUAGUCAGGAUGGUCUCGAUCUUCUGCCCUCAGGUAAUCCACCCGCCUUGGCCUCCCAAAGUGCUGGGAUUACAGGUGUGAGCCACCAUGCCCAGCCAGAAACUGCCACUUUUAAACCAUCAGAUCUCAUUGAGAACUCCCUCACUAUCACGAGAACCGCAUGAGGGAAACCACCCCCAUGAUCUGAUCACCUCCCACCAGGUCCUGCCCUCAACAUGUGGGGAUUACAAUUCAAGAUGAGAUUUGGGUCAGGAAACAGAGCCAAACCAUAUCAAGAGCCUCUGGUAACCACUGUUCUACUCAAUACUUCUAUGAGGUGAACUUCUUUGGAUUCCACAUAUGAUCAAGAUCAUGAGGAGGAGCAAGUCUUCUUUGUCAUGCUAUUAAGAAAAUACCCAGAGUCACAGCACCAUGAUCUCCUUGUGAAGCAGAACAAGUAAUAUAAAACUGAUCUAAAGAGGCCUCCCCUCUACUCUUAUCUGUCUGGUCGAGUCAUUUGGGUCCAAGUGGGCACCAUUGUGGGAGGGUGGGAGGACUCAUCACUGGGGGCCCAGGCAUCAUUGGCAUGUGGCCUCCUGUGUUAGUUUGUUCUCAUGCUGCAAAUAAAGACAACUUGAGACUGGAUAAUUUAUAAAGGAAAGAGGUUUAAUGGACUCACAGUUCCACAUGGCUAAGGAGUACUCACAAUCAUGGCGGAAGACAAAGGAAGAGCAAAGGGACAUCUUACAUGGCAGCAGGCAAGAGAGCGUGUGCAGGGGAAGUCCCCUUUAUAAAACCAUCAGAUCUCAUGAGACUUAUUCACUAUCGCGAGAACAGCAUGAGAAAAACCCACCCCCAUGAUUCAAUUACCUCCCACCGUGUCCCUCCCAUGUCAUGUGAAGAUUAUUACAACUCAAGGUGAGAUCUGAGUGGGGACACAGAGCCAAAUGAUAUCACCUCCAAUGGGCAGCCUCAUUCCAGGAGCACAUCCCAUUGGCAUCAUCCAGGAGGAGGGGGGGGCCAUCAUUGGCAUCAUGGGAGGGCCCCCCAGCUGGGGUGCUGGCAUCAUACCUGGUGAGGAACAGGAAGAGACUGGGGGGAGGUUGGAUCAUCGCUCCUGCAGGAGGAGGAACAGAGAACAGAGUAGGAGGUGUUCUUCCUUGUUGAGAUGCAGUCUUUGUUCUGUCAGCCAGGCUCCGAGCCUGCUCUUCUAUCCAUUUCUGGUAGUAGUCUUUCACAUUCUCUUUGUGUUUCCUUCCACUGCAAUGGUAGGUUCUCACAGAUGGAGAGUCGUGGGUGAGGUAUGUAUUGCAGAAGUCACAACAAAACUUAGGCAUGUUGCUCUGUAGCCCGUUAACCACUCUCUUCCCUGAUUUUGCUUUGUUUUGAUGUGACAUUGAAGCACUGCACAUGCGCAGAGCAGCUAAUAGUUCUUCCCUCUUUGGAUUGUUGGAUGAAAUUUUUUUGAAUUUUAUUUUUUAUUGAUACAUAAUAGAUAUAUGUGUUUUGGGGGUACAUAUGAUAAUUUAAUAUAUUUAUAUAACUUGUUAAGAACAAAUCAGUGUAAUUGGGACAGCCACCACCUUAAAUACUUGUCCUUCCUUUUUGCUGGAAACAUUUGUAUUAUUCUCUUAGCUAUUUUGAAAUAUACAAUAGGUUAUUCUAAACUAUAAUCACCCUAGUGAUCUAUGAAACACUACGUCUUAUUUCUUCUAUUGGAUUAAAUGAUUUAAUACCUGCAAUGCUCUUAGCAUUGUGCCUGGCACAUGAUAAAUAAAUAUUAGCUGUCGUUAUUCCGACCCAAAACAAGAACAUUUUUUAUUGUUACAGAAAAAAUUGGACCAUUGAUUAUGUUUCACCAUUUAAGUGGCUAUUGUUUGCAUGCUUUCGACAGUUCUAUCCCAUGCCCUAUACAUUUACUUUCCCCCAGACCUCCCUCCCCUCCAUCUUCAACCUAUUACAACAGGGUGUAAUAAUAUAGACGAACACUAGAGGGAAGCAUGCAAUUGCAAUGAAGAAAAUCGGCAUCAGCACACUUGAAAUUCAGACAAGAAGAUAGAAGAUGUCUAGUAUCAAAGGAAAGUGAAAUGUCUUCCUUUAAUAUAGUGUCUUGUAGUAUUCUCCUAUAGGAGGGAAGUAUUAUUACUCUAUCGGAUGAGUAUUCCUACUGGAAGGAUAGCUGCGGCAUUUUAAAAAAUCCUGCCUGUAUGUGCCUGCCAUAAAGAUGUCACAUAACCAUUUCCUCACGUGCUGUUCACUCCACACCCCAGCUCUCCUGAGAGCACUUAGCUUCUCCCGUGAGCCGGUUCCUCCGAUGGGAGGCAUUUGGAAGCCUACAUUAGUAUAGUGCUGCCUUACAACGCACUUUAAUGUAAUAUCUAGUCUCUGGGAGGCCCAGGAGUGCUUCAAAUUCUAGGCUUCCCUGAGAUGUCCAGUGCAUUUCUGUUGAGGUGUAUAUGGGCUCACUCGGCCUGAGUCCCUCAGGGGCAGGAAACGUACCCCAUCUUCACCUUUGCAUCCCCAGCAGUUUGCAGUGCUGGGCAUGCCCUAGAGAAGCUGGAUAAUGUCUGUUGGACUAAACUGCUUCAUGAGCUGCAGACAGAAAAAGAGGGAAAUUUAUGCUCACUUUAUGCCUGAGCAAUGGGACUCUAAACUGCACCCCUAACCAGUGAAUAUUUUUCAUUAUUUUUCUGGAUUAUAAAAGUUCAUGCUCAUAAUGUGAAAAUCAUGCAAAAAGAACAUCUAAAAUAUUCAUAAUCCCAUCCAUCCAAUAUUAACCUGGGGAAUACUACAGAUUCUUUUAACCUUAUGUCAGAGUAUAAUAUAUAAAUAUAUGUGUGUGUGUACAUAUAUAUAGUGUUUACAUUUAUGGCAGCAUGGAACACCUAUCUUUUAAAAAUUUUUUUUGAGAUGGUGUCUAUACUCUGUCACCCAGGUUGGAGUGCAGUGGCGUGAUCUGACUCGCUGCAACCUUGGCCUCAUCCUCCCACCUCAGCCUCCUGAGUAGCUGGUACCACAAGCGUGCACUACCAUGCCCAGCUAAUUUUUUGUAUUUUUGGUACAGACAGGGUUUUGCCAUGUUGCCCAGGCUGGUCUUGAACUCCUGAGCUCAAGUGAUCCACCUGCCUUGGAAUCCCAAAGUUCUGGGAUUACAGGUGUGAGCCACCAUGCCCAGCCCUACAUCUAUCUUUUUUUUUUUUUUAAAACUAAUCCCUUUCUUUUGGGAAUUUAAGCUGUUUCUCAAUUUUUGCUUUUUUUAAAGAGCAGUCUGGUGAAUAUUCGUGUAGCUAAGUGUAAGCCCACAUUCUUUAUUAGUGUCUUAGGAUAAAUUCCCAGAGGCAGAAUUUCUGGGUGAUGGGUAAUUUACAUUGUCACCAACAGUGACAGUGCCCUUGAUCAGAUGAAGAGUUUUAAUUAAACGUCACACCAGAACUCCAUAAUCUUGUCUCAGUCAUGUCAUCGCUGCUCAAAACAUUUGGUGAACUCUGUUUGGUGAUCCAGGCUAUGACU